GAGGUAUGAUUCUUUGAUAUCCAUCGAUUUCCAUCGAUUUUUGAUGAUUUUGAUCUGGAAAAUCUUGUUCUCCCUCUUGACUUGAGCAUAUAUCUUCGAGAUUGUUCGAAUCCCUCUGAUCUAAAUCGAUCUAGGGCUCAAGUCCAUGCAAUGGGAUACAUGCAAAGCUCUUGUCAUUCAUGGCGAUAUACUUUGUCUGGGGUUUCGAGUGCGGUGUCAGUGUCUCCGGACAAGCAACGGCUAAUAUAAUCGAGAUGGGUCAUAAGUAGAAGUUAAAGAUCUAGAGACCUAGAUCUUAUCCUCAAAUCUGCUAUCUCUCCGAUCAGAACUGCAAAUAUCAGAUAGAUUCUGUGGACCUUCACAUACUAAAUCCAAAGUACCACUGGCCAUUUGAGUAUCUUUUGUUCUAGGAUAUUUUGAAGUGAGAAAGCAGCUGCAUCUGGAGUAUAAGGUUGAUUAACCUGGCUACCUUACUGAUGUGGAUCGUCACUGCAGUAUUUUCGAACUCCUAGUGAUAUGUGAAAUACCUUAUAGCAUAUUGUUGUUGGAAUUGAGUAAAUUGAAUCAUAUUACAAAGAUGAUAGACAAGAUGAACAUUGACAAACUCUCUGUACGUAAAGAUUUUGACCCAAUUAUUGCUGAAAAUCUUAUAAUUACUUGUACCCUUGUGUAUGCUAUGAAGCUGCUUUAUUCCUAUUCUUUUCUCCAUAAUCCCCACCUUAUAGUGUCUCUCGCCUUUCAAUCUGUGGAGGAUUUUCGCAAUGCAGCAAUCAGCUGAAUGCAAGCUGACAUGACA